UUCUGGGUUCAAGUACAAUAUCACUUAAUCACAAAUUUUUAUAGCUACACUUCAAAAAUAGAAUAAAAUUGCCACAAUUUGAAGAGGUAAGAUUUAUUUGUAUCUUCUUCUUAUAUAAAAUUACUAAACAAAAAGUU